rfam:Aedes albopictus isolate Foshan contig116480, whole genome shotgun sequence.
UGUUCUGUGGCGGAGUUAGUUAACGCGCCCUGUCUAGCGAACUUGGGGAGACGUGGGUUCAAAUCCCACCAGAACUA